rnacentral:rRNA from 1 species
AACGAACGCUGGCGGCAUGCCUAACACAUGCAAGUCGAACGAGACCUUCGGGUCUAGUGGCGCACGGGUGCGUAACGCGUGGGAGUCUGCCCUUAGGUUCGGAAUAACUCCCCGAAAGGGGUGCUAAUACCGGAUAAUGUCUUCGGACCAAAGAUUUAUCGCCUUUGGAUGGGCCCGCGUUGGAUUAGCUAGUUGGUAGGGUAAAAGCCUACCAAGGCGACGAUCCAUAGCUGGUCUGAGAGGAUGAUCAGCCACACUGGGACUGAGACACGGCCCAGACUCCUACGGGAGGCAGCAGUGGGGAAUAUUGGACAAUGGGCGAAAGCCUGAUCCAGCAAUGCCGCGUGAGUGAUGAAGGCCUUAGGGUUGUAAAGCUCUUUUACCCGGGAUGAUAAUGACAGUACCGGGAGAAUAAGCUCCGGCUAACUCCGUG